GUUGCCUGAGAAAUGAAUAGAAGUUCAGCCCUUUGAGUCUUUCCCCCGCCCACAAUGCUUACGCUUAAAUAGGCCAAGGAAACUAAAGGAGUUAAUCAAAAGGGGUACAGCCCUUCUGAUAAAAGAAACAACUUUAACAGGUGACCCAAGAUCAUAUUAAUUAAGGACUUUAAAUUAAGUGGGCCUAAGAGCAGCCAUCUUAACAGAAAGCGUUAAAGCUCAAAUUAAACACCAUCCGCACAUACUGAUAUCUCAUCUCCCUCCCUGCUUUCUACCAGGCUAUCCUAUGCCCCCAUAGGAACAAUUAUGCUAAAAUGAGUAAUAAGAAGAAUAUCGUUCUUCUCCAAGCACCCGUGUAAGUCGGAACGGACCUCCCACCGACCAUUAACCGACCCCAAACCCAGAGGGACAUAAGUCGUUCCAACAAGAAAACCACUUAUUUUAAACCGUUAGCCCUACACAGGCGUGCCCCAAGGAAAGACUAAAAGAGAAGGAAGGAACUCGGCAAACACAAGCCUCGCCUGUUUACCAAAAACAUCGCCUCUUGUCCCUCAAAGUAUAAGAGGUCCCGCCUGCCCUGUGACUAUAUGUUUAACGGCCGCGGUAUCUUA
rnacentral:rRNA from 1 species